rnacentral:lncRNA from 10 species
CCAUCGCGGCCCGUUCCAGUCCCUUCUCUGUUCGUCGCUCUCCUUUCCUGCCCCAGUGGAUCUCUCAGGGCUUGGUGCCGAAAAGUAGUGGAGAAGAUGGAAUUUCCUCUGUGGUUGGUGGCUUUCGGUUUAUUUCGCCGGCAGGUGGCAGUGUUGCACUGUGGAGUGGCCCUGCUCGCCUUCCGCCCCUCCCUUCGCGAGCGAAAAAACGCUGCCCAUCGUUUUCCGAUGGAAGAGGUCGGUUUUUUUUUUUCCUCCUUCCCUGGCGUGUGAACCGGCUGGUCCUGGAGCCUGAGUUGCCACCUUCUGGCGGGCGAGGGGGGGGGGUCCCUCGCUGAAACUCAGCACUGGUGGACAAAGCCUUUUUGCUUUUCAAAUCGGCCUGUCUCCCGCGGACCUGCCUGCGUCCCUUAGUAACCCUUAUUCUGCUGCUCUGAAUGGUCUUUCCCCCACGUCGUCCUGGAAUCCGUUGGCCUUCAUCACUGUAUUCUUUCAUUAGGUAGGGCGUUCAGCCUUGCUGGAGAACAUGCGAGGCGAAAUAACGCAGAAUAAAGAAAACGAAUCUUAGCCACCGUCCUAUCACACAGCGGUGGCCAUUCAUUAUGCUUUGUGAAAUUUCUUCCUUAAGAGGGUUUUUCAUCCAUAACGGUGCAUUUUCCACAUACUGACAUUCCUACUUGCGUCACGACUUCAACAUCCUUAUUUUAAAACUCGGUUUCACAUUUUUGAAAAACGGUUUUUGUGAUUUUCGUCGUUUUGAUUGAAAUAAUGCAAACGUUUUCUGGAAUGUUCUGUGUUCCUGUAAAACUCCAGUGCACAAUUCAUUAACUCGUGAUCCAAAGACAGCUGUCACCGUGUUCUCUUAUGAGGGCAGGAGCUGUGGUCUGUGUGUGUGUGUUUCAGUCUUUUGUCCUCAGUACCUGCAAGGACACUUAGAAUUUACUGGGUGCC